CCCAGGAACCCUUUGCAGAGAUCUGAUUGCACCAUGAGGUGAACUGAACGGAGGCUCUGAGAAGCUCAAGUAUUGAGGACCAGCCAUGGAGAAAACACACACUAUGGAAGGCUACAGUGAAAACACACAGGGGCUUUCAGCUUAAACAUAGGGAACGUUACCAGUUGAGCUGCAUCGUUCUACAGCUACUCUUGUGUGGCUAUAGAUGGUGUGAAAAUGUACAGAGACACAGAGAAACAGGACCCUGGAGUCAUUCUGCAGAUCACAGCUGCUGACUGCUCCAGAGACUGGGACUUCUGAAGCACCUGGAUUUGUGAUGGUGUCAUAACUACCUUGUUCUGCUGUUGCUUGUGCUGAGACCCGAGUAUGUCACCAAGUAAAAGGUGAAACAAAACCCAACCACCGAACCCCAAACCAAAAAACCUCUCAGGAACAACCCCGGAGCUCUCACCGUUGAUUAAUGUCAUCAGUGCUGUGGGUCAGGCUUGUGUAGCAGCUGCUUAAACAACUGCUGUUUGAGCCACCACCUUAAGGUAAAUGUGAAUAAAAGGGAGAAAGUUUUAAGCCCUGGAUAAGCC
rnacentral:lncRNA from 1 species